ensembl:lncRNA
UGCAUAAUGAACGAAUUUGCUGAAAGAUCCAAGCAAAGUCCCAUGAACUUAAAGCAAUUUUAAACAAAAGACCUGCACAUUUAUUUUACCACAAGUUGCACUGUCCAUAAGUUAUGAGCUACACACAAACCAGUUUACAAGCAAAGCAAAACUUCCAAUUUUUGCAAAUUCCUUCACAGACCCUACAGUUCGUGUCCUACCUUCUCUCCAGAAAGCCAUGCACAGAGUAAAAUUCAAAUUCAGACAGAAUCAGAGACAAUCAGCAUUUAAAAAAAAAUCUGAUUUCAAUUUUAAAUAAAAAAAAAAAUCUUUUUACCUGUGCUAAAAACCGAUCACACAUGAUGCCUGUCCCAAAAAACAAGAAUAAACACAAAAAAAAGAUAAUGAAUAUACAUCUGUUGCACAAUUUUGCAGAAUUUUGAUGUCCUUGUGAAGAAAGCCAAAAAAGCCAUUUCAGUUCCACUUCACUUGGGGAAAAAAAUAAGUGUAUAAAAACACGCAGUAGUAAAAAGAGAUUCGAAGAGGACUGCCUCUGGGUGUGGCUCUCUGUCGUACUAUCAGUUGCUGAGCUGUGAUUGGAGAACACAGUCAAUGUCGUCGGUACCGCGGUAAAAAGCCCCGAGAGCUCCAGCAAACACAGCUCUGAGCCCCAUGAGAGCAGCAGCGAUGAUGACUGACAGAGUCGUCCUUCUCCUCAUCCCUCACAUGCUUGUGCUCUUGCUGUCUGCCGCAGUAGAAGCAGCAGAUCUUCACCAUGACACACCCACAGUGACCAAACCUGAAGGCAAAACAAUAUUUUUCAGCUGCAGGGGAACCAGUGGCUGUCAAGACUACCUCCACUUGUACCAACAGAAAGACGGAAAAGAACUCAAGCGGGUUCUUUAUGUGAGUCUCUCCGGAGACAACGCAGUUAAGGACCCUGGAUUUCAAGACUUUGAUAUCGAAAAGCCUCAACCCGACACUUUCAAAGUGAAAAUACGUGCACUCGACAAGAAGCAUUCCGCCACCUACUUCUGCGCCUGUUGGGUUUACCACGGUGAUGUAGACCCCACUCACCACCUGGAAAAAACUUGCAGUAACACAGCAGACAAGUCUCACUGAGGCCAAACAAAUUCAACACACUUCAAAAGUUUAAAAUUAACUUUAUAAUCAGACCAAAACCACAACAAGCAUGAUGUCAAAAGCCACCUGAUGUAAUGUAACUGAAAACGAGUUAAAUAUUUCAGUCCUAUAGGGGGUGUGGUAGUGCAGCAGGUUUCGCUGGGGCCCCCUGUGUGGUGGGUCUGGGGUUCGAGUCCUGCUUGGAGUGCCUUGUGGUGGACUGGCGUUCCAUCUGGGGUGUGUCGCCUUGCUCCCCGUGUUGCUGGGUUAGGCUCUGGUUUGCUGUGACCCCCUCUGAACAAGUAGUUGUUGACAUUGUGUGUGUAUGUGUGUUUCAGUCCUGAUUCAAAGAAUUUUAUUGCACAUGACAAAAAUAUUACAAAAUACCACCAAUUUGACUAUUAAUUUUAUUUAAACACAUAUGUUUAAAUUGCGGGGGUGCGGUGGCGCAGUGGGUUGGACCACGGUCCUGCUUUCCGGUGGGUCUGGGGUUCGAGUCCCGCUUGGGGUGCCUUGCGACGGACUGGCGUCCCGUCCUGGGUGUGUCCCCUCCCCCUCCGGCCUUACGCCCUGUGUUGCCGGGUAGGCUCCGGUUCCCCGUGACCCCGUAUGGGAUAAGCGGUUCUGAAAAUGUGUGUGUGUGUGUGUGUGUUUAAAUUGCAAAAGUUGGUCUCGGAGAUGUACAUCACUUUGGAGAAAAGUGUAUGGUAAAUGAAUACAGCUGAAUGUUAAAAAGGGAAAAAAAUGACAAAUUGAAGUAUUUCUUACACUCUUCGGUAGACAGUGUUGACUAUUCCAAUUCAACUAGCUAAAGAAAAGGGUUGGUGUUGCAUUCAUUAUUUGAGGUGAUAAUGUCUGUCUCUCUCUCUCUCUCUCUCUCUCUCACACUCACACACACACACACACACACACACACACACACAAACACACACACACACACGUAACUUCCUCUUCAAACAUAAAGUCACCCUCACAGACUGCAAUGGGAGCAGAAGGUCGCAGCGGCAACCCGUCGCCACAGAUAUGGGUCUGCGCUCUCUUUUUAUCAUCUGCUCCUUUCACCUCGGUAAGAAGAUCGGACCCACGAAAGGGUUUUUCCAGAAGUUCACACAAUUGUAAUAAAUGAUACCAAUUAAUAGCA